UACGUAGGGGGCAAGCGUUGUCCGGAAUCAUUGGGCGUAAAGCGCGUGUAGGCGGCUGGGUAAGUCCGCUCUGAAAGCCCGGGGCUCAACCCCGGGAGGCGGGUGGAUACUGCUCAGCUCGAGUCCGGAAGAGGAGUGUGGAAUUCCUGGUGUAGCGGUGAAAUGCGCAGAUAUCAGGAGGAACACCAAUGGCGAAGGCAGCACUCUGGGACGGUACUGACGCUGAGACGCGAAAAGCGUGGGGAGCAAACAGG
rnacentral:rRNA from 1 species